GUGCUUUGAUGCAAACCACAGCUU
rnacentral:siRNA from 1 species